UACGUAGGGCGCAAGCGUUGUCCGGAAUUAUUGGGCGUAAAGAGCUCGUAGGCGGCUUGUCACGUCGGAUGUGAAAGCCCGGGGCUUAACUCCGGGUCUGCAUUCGAUACGGGCUAGCUAGAGUGUGGUAGGGGAGAUCGGAAUUCCUGGUGUAGCGGUGAAAUGCGCAGAUAUCAGGAGGAACACCGGUGGCGAAGGCGGGUCUCUGGGCCGAUACUGACGCUGAGGAGCGAAAGCGUGGGGAGCGAACAGG
rnacentral:rRNA from 1 species